GUAGGAGGCGAGCGUUAUCCGGAUUCACUGGGCGUAAAGCGCGUGCAGGUGGUUCGGUAAGUUGGGCGUGAAAUCUCCCGGCUCAACUGGGAGAGGUCGUCCAAUACUACCGAACUUGAGAGCAGAAGAGGAAGAUGGAAUUCCCGGUGUAGUGGUGAAAUGCGUAGAUAUCGGGAGGAACACCAGUGGCGAAGGCGAUCUUCUGGUCUAUUUCUGACACUCAGACGCGACAGCUAGGGUAGUAAACGGGAUUAGAGACCCCGGUAAUCCUAGCCGUAAACGAUGUGAACUUGGCGUUGGUGGGUUAAACUCCAUCAGUGCCGAAGCAAACGCGAUAAGUUCACCGCCUGGGGACUACGGCCGCAAGGUUA
rnacentral:rRNA from 1 species